GAUGAUAUGCAGGCCAUGAUGCAACGUCUGAUGUUGCAUUUUCCACACGAUCCUCCGCCUCCUCCUCAACAGUGAGCACUGUAAGUCCCCUUCGUGUUUGAAUUUAAACAUUGAGGUCAAUGUUUAGUUCAAGUGUGGGGGGUUUUUUUCGCUUUUCAUGUUUUAUUUUCGUUCAAUUUGUUUUGUUUUUGUUAUGUUAUCAUUAUAUUAGUAUGUGUGUUUGUUUUGUUUGUUUUC
rnacentral:lncRNA from 1 species